rnacentral:rRNA from 1 species
GACGAACGCUGGCGGCGUGCUUAACACAUGCAAGUGGAGCGACGAACCCAGGCUUGCCUGGGGGCAGAGCCGCGAACGGGUGAGUAACACGUGGGUUACCUGCCCCGUUGACAGGGACAACCCGGGGAAACCCGGGCUAAUACCUGAUGUGACCUUCGGGUGAAAGGAAGCUUCGGCCUCCGCAACGGGAUGGGCCCGCGGCGCAUUAGCUUGUUGGUGGGGUAACGGCCUACCAAGGCGACGAUGCGUAGCUGGUCUGAGAGGACGAUCAGCCACACUGGGACUGAGACACGGCCCAGACUCCUACGGGAGGCAGCAGUGGGGAAUCUUGCGCAAUGCGCGAAAGCGUGACGCAGCAACGCCGCGUGGAGGAAGACGGCCUUCGGGUUGUAAACUCCUUUCAGUUGGGACGAAGCUUUUACGGUGAAUAGCCGUGUGGAGUGACGGUACCUUCAGAAGAAGCCCCGGCUAACUACGUGCCAGCCGCCGCAGUAACAC